GACGAAGGGGGCUAGCGUUGUCCGGAUUUACUGGGCGUAAAGAGCGCGCAGGCGGUCGUACAAGUCGCGUGUGAAAGCCCCCGGCUCAACUGGGGAGGGUCACGCGAUACUGUUCGACUCGAAGGCAGGAGAGGGAAGUGGAAUUCCCGGUGUAGUGGUGAAAUGCGUAGAUAUCGGGAGGAACACCAGUGGCGAAGGCGACUUCCUGGCCUGUUCUUGACGCUGAGGCGCGAAAGCUAGGGUAGCAAACGGG
rnacentral:rRNA from 1 species